CCUACGGGAGGCAGCAGUGAGGAAUAUUGGUCAAUGGACGAGAGUCUGAACCAGCCAAGUCGCGUGAAGGAUGACUGCCCUCUGGGUUGUAAACUUCUUUUAUAUGGGAAUAAAAUGUUCCACGUGUGGGAUUUUGUAUGUACCAUAUGAAUAAAGAUAGGCUAACUCCGUGCCAGCAGCCGCGGUAAGACGGAGGGUCCGAGCGUUAUCCUGAUUUAUUGGGUUUAAAGGGAGCGUAGGGGGAUUGUUAAGUCAGUUGUGAAAGUGUGCGGCUCAACCGUGAAAUUGCAGUUGAAACUGGCAGGCUUGAGUACAGUAGAGGUGGGCGGAAUUCGUGGUGUAGCGGUGAAAUGCGUAGAUAUCACGAAGAACUCCGAUUGCGAAGGCAGCUCACUGGACUGCAACUGACACUGAGGUUCGAAAGUGUGGGGAGCAAACAGGAUUAGAUACCCGUGUAGUC
rnacentral:rRNA from 1 species